ACUCAAAUGAAUUGACGGGGGCCCGCACAAGCAGCGGAGCGUGUGGUUUAAUUCGACGCAACGCGAAGGACCUUACCCAGAUUGGACAUGGCCCUGCAAGCGCACGGAAACGUGUGACCUUCGAGGGAGGGCCACAGAUGCUGCAUGGCUGUCGUCAGUUCGUGUCGUGAGAUGUUGGGUUAAGUCCCGCAACGAGCGCAACCCCUGCCGCCAGUUACCUGGUGUCUGGCGGGACAGCCGGCUUGAUGGCCGGAGGAAGGCGGGGAUGACGUCAAGUCCGCAUGGCUCUUACAUCUGGGGCGACACACACGCUACAAUGGCCAGGACAGCGCGUCGCGACCCGGCAACGGGAAGCAAAUCGCCCAAACCUGGUCCCAGUGCAGAUCGGGGGCUGCAACUCGCCCCCGUGAAGGUGGAGUUGCUAGUAACCGCGUAUCAGCCACGGCGCGGUGAAUACGUACCCGGGCCUUGUACACACCGCCCGU
rnacentral:rRNA from 1 species